rnacentral:tRNA from 1 species
GCAAAACCUAAUUAUAGGGUUACAGUGAUAGUGUAACUGAGUGUUGAUUACACUUGCUCAAAUAU